AACGAACGCUGGCGGCAUGCCUAACACAUUCAAGUCGAACGAGACCUUCGGGUCUAGUGGCGCACGGGUGCGUAACGCGUGGGAACCUGCCCUUAGGUUCGGAAUAACUCCCCGAAAGGGGUGCUAAUACCUGAUAAUGUCUUCGGACCAAAGAUUUAUCGCCUUUGGAUGGGCCCGCGUUGGAUUAGCUCGUUGGUAGGGUAAAAGCCUACCAAGGCGACGAUCCAUAGCCGCUCUGUGAGGAUGAUCAGCCACACUGGGACUAAGACACGGCCCAGACUACUGAGGGAGGAAGCAGUGGGAAAUAGUGAAAAAUGGGAGAAAGGCUAGUAAAGCAAUGACGAGUGAAUGAAGAAGGAGUGAGGGUGGAAAAAAUCUUUUAACCGGGAGGAGAAGGACAGUACCGGGAGGAUAAACUCAGGAUAACUCCAUG
rnacentral:rRNA from 1 species